rfam:Bacillus sp. 2_A_57_CT2 genomic scaffold supercont1.6, whole genome shotgun sequence.
UUCUUAUCCAGAGAGGUGGAGGGACUGGCCCUUUGAAGCCUCGGCAGCAGGUUCUGAUGAAUACUGUGCCAAUUCCAGCAAGCGCAUCGCUUGAAAGAUGAGAA